AUGCAGGAGCAGGGGGAGAGCUCGCGGCCUUCGAGCAGCGACAGGUCGUCCAGCUCCGGCAACCACAUGGGGCACAAGGAAGGGAUGGAGAGCGACGACGAGAUAGGGACGGUGCCGGAGCUGGGCCUGGGGCCAAGCGGCGCGUCCACGUCCGGCAGGAGGGAAGCCGACGGGCCGGAGCGUGCCCAGUCCUCCACCGCGCAAGGCAGCGCGCGCCGCCGCGGACGCACCCCGGCCGACAAGGAGCACAAGCGCCUCAAGAGGUUGCUGAGGAACCGGGUAUCAGCCCAGCAGGCAAGGGAGAGGAAGAAAGCUUAUUUGGGCGAUCUGGAGGUGAAGGUGAAGGACCUAGAGAAGAAGAAUUCGGAGCUGGAAGAGAGGCAUUCCACCCUACAGAAUGAGAACCAGAUGCUCCGACAGAUCCUGAAGAACACCACUGUGAGCAGAAGAGGGCCAAGUGAGGGUCAAUAG
rnacentral:rRNA from 1 species